ACGAACGCUGGCGGCACGCUUAACACAUGCAAGUCGAACGAGAGAAGAGAAGCUUGCUUUUCUGAUCUAGUGGCGGACGGGUGAGUAACACGUGAGCAAUCUGCCUUUCAGAGGGGGAUACCGAUUGGAAACGAUCGUUAAUACCCCAUAACAUAAUUGAACCGCAUGAUUUGAUUAUCAAAGAUUUAUCGCUGAAAGAUGAGCUCGCGUCUGAUUAGCUAGUUGGUAAGGUAACGGCUUACCAAGGCGACGAUCAGUAGCCGGACUGAGAGGUUGAUCGGCCACAUUGGGACUGAGACACGGCCCAGACUCCUACGGGAGGCAGCAGUGGGGAAUAUUGCACAAUGGAGGAAACUCUGAUGCAGCGAUGCCGCGUGAGGGAAGAAGGUUUUAGGAUUGUAAACCUCUGUCUUCAGGGACGAAAAAAGACGGUACCUGAGGAGGAAGCUCCGGCUAACUACGUGCCAGCAGCCGCGGUAAUACGUAGGGAGCGAGCGUUGUCCGGAAUUACUGGGUGUAAAGGGAGCGUAGGCGGGAUUGCAAGUCAGAUGUGAAAACUAUGGGCUUAACCCAUAAACUGCAUUUGAAACUGUGGUUCUUGAGUGAAGUAGAGGUAAGCGGAAUUCCUAGUGUAGCGGUGAAAUGCGUAGAUAUUAGGAGGAACAUCAGUGGCGAAGGCGGCUUACUGGGCUUUAACUGACGCUGAGGCUCGAAAGCGUGGGGAGCAAACAGGAUUAGAUACCCUGGUAGUCCACGCCGUAAACGAUGAUUACUAGGUGUGGGGGGACUGACCCCUUCCGUGCCGCAGCAAACGCAAUAAGUAAUCCACCUGGGGAGUACGACCGCAAGGUUGAAACUCAAAGGAAUUGACGGGGGCCCGCACAAGCAGUGGAGUAUGUGGAUUAAUUCGAAGCAACGCGAAGAACCUUACCAGGUCUUGACAUCGUAUGCAUAGCUCAGAGAUGAGUGAAAUCUCUUCGGAGACAUAUAGACAGGUGGUGCAUGGUUGUCGUCAGCUCGUGUCGUGAGAUGUUGGGUUAAGUCCCGCAACGAGCGCAACCCUUACUGUUAGUUGCUACGCAAGAGCACUCUAGCAGGACUGCCGUUGACAAAACGGAGGAAGGUGGGGAUGACGUCAAAUCAUCAUGCCCCUUAUGACCUGGGCCUCACACGUACUACAAUGGCUGUCAACAGAGGGAAGCAAAGCCGCGAGGUGGAGCAAACCCCUAAAAGCAGUCUUAGUUCGGAUUGUAGGCUGCAACCCGCCUACAUGAAGUCGGAAUUGCUAGUAAUCGCAGAUCAGCAUGCUGCGGUGAAUACGUUCCCGGGCCUUGUACACACCGCCCGUCACGCCAUGGGAGUCGGUAACACCCGAAGCCUGUAGUCUAACCGCAAGGAGGACGCAGUCGAAGGUGGGAUUGAUGACUGGGGUG
rnacentral:rRNA from 1 species